rnacentral:rRNA from 1 species
CCUUGACAUGUCUGGAAUCCUGAAGAGAUUUGGGAGUGCUCGAAAGAGAGCCAGAACACAGGUGCUGCAUGGCCGUCGUCAGCUCGUGUCGUGAGAUGUUGGGUUAAGUCCCGCAACGAGCGCAACCCUUGUCAUUAGUUGCUACGAAAGGGCACUCUAAUGAGACUGCCGGUGACAAACCGGAGGAAGGUGGGGAUGACGUCAGGUCAUCAUGGCCCUUAUGGGUAGGGCUACACACGUCAUACAAUGGCCGGGACAGAGGGCUGCCAACCCGCGAGGGGGAGCUAAUCCCAGAAACCCGGUCGUAGUCCGGAUCGUAGUCUGCAACUCGACUGCGUGAAGUCGGAAUCGCUAGUAAUCGCGGAUCAGCUUGCCGCGGUGAAUACGUUCCCGGGUCUUGUACACACCGCCCGUCACACCAUGGGAGCGGGUUCUGCCAGAAGUAGUUAGCCUAACCGCAAGGGGGGCGA